CCAGGCUUGAACUGCAGAUGACAUCCUAUGAAAGUAGGCUUCCGCAAGGACAUCUGUAGAGGUGCUGCAUGGCUGUCGUCAGCUCGUGUCGUGAGAUGUUGGGUUAAGUCCCGCAACGAGCGCAACCCUUGUCUUCUGUUGCCAUCAGGUUAUGCUGGGCACUCUGAAGAGACUGCCGGUGACAAACCGGAGGAAGGUGGGGAUGACGUCAAGUCAGCAUGGCCUUUAUGUCUGGGGCCACACACGUGCUACAAUGGCCGGUACAAACCGUUGCAAACUCGCGAGGGUGAGCUAAUCGGAGAAAGCCGGUCUCAGUUCGGAUUGCAGGCUGCAACUCGCCUGCAUGAAGUUGGAAUCGCUAGUAAUCGCGGAUCAGCAUGCCGCGGUGAAUACGUUCCC
rnacentral:rRNA from 1 species